UAAUUAUGAUUGUAUGGGUUCAAUUAAGAGU
rnacentral:piRNA from 1 species